AAAUAUGAUACUGGAUCAUAUGGUAAGAGCAUGUUUCAUUUUGUAAGAGACCGACAGACCGCCUUCUAAAGUGCCUGUGCCAUUCUGCAUUCCCACCAGCAGC
rnacentral:pre_miRNA from 1 species